CUGAAAUGAGCUGUGAUCUGUUGCUCACCGCUGGUUCGGGAGCAUGGAAUGUUAUCAAAUCACAGGCCAUUUACGUCUGCAGAUGUGGUAGCAUGCCUUGAGGACAGGGCAUUUGCAGGGAGCAGGGGAGCGGGUGCCUUGGCCCUGCUGCCUUUCGUGCUGCUUGUGGGAGGCUUUUCCCCCAGGCAGGAGAGAGGAGCUCCCUCUGCCAUUCAACCUUCUGCUCCUGCACCCCCGAAUCUGCCCCGGUUCCGCAUUGGCCUGGGUCGGGAGGACAGUCAGCUGGUGACGAUGGUGGCAUGAUGCCGGGGAAGUCCUGGUCUGGGCAGCCUGAACUGAGGUGCCUCCAAGCUGCCCCGUGCUGGGUCAGACCUUUCCUGCAACAGCCAAGCUGGCCGUGAGCAGCGGGACUCCCGAGGGCACACCAGAGCCGGGCUCACCGCGCACAGACAGGCC